rnacentral:rRNA from 1 species
UACGUAGGGGGGCAAGCGUUGUCCGGAUUUAUUGGGCGUAAAGAGCGUGUAGGCGGCUAGAUAGGUCCGUUGUGAAAACUCGAGCUCAACCUCGAGACGCCGGUGGAAACCAUCUAGCUAGAGUCCGGAAGAGGAGAGUGGAAUUCCUGGUGUAGCGGUGAAAUGCGCAGAUAUCAGGAAGAACACCCGUGGCGAAGGCGGCUCUCUGGUACGUGACUGACGCUGAGACGCGAAAGCGUGGGGAGCGAACAGG